GGCGUAAAGAGCUCGUAGGUGGUUUGUCGCGUUGUUCGUGAAAUCUCACGGCUUAACUGUGAGCGUGCGGGCGAUACGGGCAGACUUGAGUACUGCAGGGGAGACUGGAAUUCCUGGUGUAGCGGUGGAAUGCGCAGAUAUCAGGAGGAACACCGGUGGCGAAGGCGGGUCUCUGGGCAGUAACUGACGCUGAGGAGCGAAAGCGUGGGGAGCGAACAGGAUUAGAUACCCUGGUAGUCCACGCCGUAAACGGUGGGUACUAGGUGUGGGUUUCCUUCCUUGGGAUCCGUGCCGUAGCUAACGCAUUAAGUACCCCGCCUGGGGAGUACGGCCGCAAGGCUAAAACUCAAAGAAAUUGACGGGGGCCCGCACAAGCGGCGGAGCAUGUGGAUUAAUUCGAUGCAACGCGAAGAACCUUACCUGGGUUUGACAUGCACAGGACGCCGGCAGAGAUGUCGGUUCCCUUGUGGCCUGUGUGCAGGUGGUGCAUGGCUGUCGUCAGCUCGUGUCGUGAGAUGUUGGGUUAAGUCCCGCAACGAGCGCAACCCUUGUCUCAUGUUGCCAGCGGGUAAUGCCGGGGACUCGUGAGAGACUGCCGGGGUCAACUCGGAGGAAGGUGGGGAUGACGUCAAGUCAUCAUGCCCCUUAUGUCCAGGGCUUCACACAUGCUACAAUGGCCGGUACAAAGGGCUGCGAUGCCGCGAGGUUAAGCGAAUCCUUUUAAAGCCGGUCUCAGUUCGGAUCGGGGUCUGCAACUCGACCCCGUGAAGUCGGAGUCGCUAGU
rnacentral:rRNA from 1 species